rnacentral:rRNA from 1 species
UACAGAGGGGCGAGCGUUGUUCGGAAUUACUGGGCGUAAAGGGCUCGUAGGCGGCCAACUAAGUCGGAUGUGAAAUCCCCAGGCUUAACCUGGGAACUGCAUCCGAUACUGGAUGGCUUGAAUCCGGGAGAGGGAUGCAGAAUUCCAGGUGUAGCGGUGAAAUGCGUAGAUAUCUGGAGGAAUACCGGUGGCGAAGGCGGCAUCCUGGACCGGCAUUGACGCUGAGGAGCGAAGGCCAGGGGAGCAAACGGG